UAAUAUACAAUGUGAAAACUAAAGGAAAAAUUCGAAUAUCGUGUUAUGUGCAGUGUUUAGUAACCCAUAUUAUCAAACCAAACCAAUUAGCAAUUUAAUCAUUAUGCCACAUCCUAGAUUAUCCGAUGAACAAGAAGAAAUUAUACGAGAAGAGCGCCGCUUUAGUAUUCAACGAGGAAGGGCAUUAAUUCGUGCUUCUCAAACACAAGAGCACAGAGGACAGCCUUAGUGGUAAAGUAAAAUUGUUAUUAUUGGUCCCGCCAACAGAGCCAUUGUGUUUCCUACUUUAUGGCGAUACACUAGAAAUAUGACAUUUUCUAGCGAACACUUAAAAAUACAAUGUCUGCUUCCAAGUGACUUCAUUUGGGGCUGAAAUUAUCGAAGAACACGAUAUAAUCCAACAUUUAAGGUAAUUUACGUUAAAAAAAAAUUGUUUGUAAGAUCCAAGAUCUGCAAUUGUGAUCAGAGCGGAUAAAAGACCUGCAGAACACAUGAACGCACAUUUAAUGAUCCAACAAUCGAUGAAGUGGAAAUGUUUAUUGUUGGUGACGUUCACAUGACGCGUUUCAAUACCCGCUGAUGUUCUGGCAAGGUGACGAUCAAUAUAACUUUAAUAUCAAAAUGAAAAAUUUAUUAAAUGGUUAGGAAACUACCAAGAAGGUUAGGUCGAUGAAUUACUACGCAUACCGUUUGCUGAUUCGUAAAAAUUUUGACAAUUAUUACUUCAACAAUGUUGCGUUGACAUGUCGAAACAAUACGUAGCACCUUAAUUUUGUUUAGUUGAAUCAAAGUAAAUUGCGUUUGGAAGUGUAUAUUCAAUGUUUGUCGAAUGACUAUUUUACCGGCGAAAUACACAGGUAUUUUAAACUCCUUGGAUGUGCCGGGUUAAUGCUUAGAAAUUUAAACCAACCAAAACUGUGCAGUGGAAAGCGUUUGUUGAUAAGAAAACUGAUGACCGAUGUGAUUCAUUCGUCAAUACUUAAAGAAAUUUACAGAUGAGGAAAAUCUUAUUCCAAGGAUCCCGAUUCGUCUUGCCUUCGCCAUGACCAAUCCUUGACUAUUUGUGGCCUUAAUCUAAAAAAUUUAUGUUUUCACCAAAAAACAAAUGUCGUUUACAAAGGUGCUAAAAUGAAAAUUUCGUUUAACUUUUAAGAAAUGUUAAGAAAUAUUAAAAGCCGUCAGGUGACGAAACGAG